rnacentral:rRNA from 1 species
CAGCAGCCGCCACGGUAACACGAAGGGGGCUAGCGUUGUUCGGAAUUACUGGGCGUAAAGCGCACGUAGGCGGAUAUUUAAGUCAGGGGUGAAAUCCCAGAGCUCAACUCUGGAACUGCCUUUGAUACUGGGUAUCUUGAGUAUGGAAGAGGUGAGUGGAACUCCGAGUGUAGAGGUGAAAUUCGUAGAUAUUCGGAGGAACACCAGUGGCGAAGGCGGCUCACUGGUCCAUUACUGACGCUGAGGUGCGAAAGCGUGGGGAGCAAACAGGAUUAGAUACCCCCGUAGUCCCUGUCUCUUAUAC